rnacentral:snRNA from 1 species
AUACUUACCUGGCAGGGGGAUCAAGAUGGUGGUUCACCCAGGGUGAGGCUUGACCAUUGCACUCCGGUUUGUGCUGACCUCUGCGAAUUCCCCAAAUGUGGGACUCUCGAGGGGAAGUUGUGGCCUAAUGAUUAGAGAGUCGGA